AACGCACAUUGCGCCCCCUGGUAUUCCGGGGGGCAUGCCUGUCCGAGCGUCAUUGCUGCCCUCAAGCACGGCUUGUGUGUUGGGCCGCCGUCCCUCUCCCGGGGGACGGGCCCGAAAGGCAGCGGCGGCACCGAGUCCGGUCCUCGAGCGUAUGGGGCUUCGUCACCCGCUCCGUAGGCCCGGCCGGUCGCCUGCCGACGACCAAUCUUCCUUCUCCAGGUUGACCUCGGAUCAGGUAGGGAUACCCGCUGAACUUAA
rnacentral:misc_RNA from 1 species